CACCCUGAUCCAGCCAUGCCGCGUGAGUGAUGAAGGCCUUAGGGUCGUAAAGCUCUUUCGCCUGUGAAGAUAAUGACGGUAGCAGGUAAAGAAACCCCGGCUAACUCCGUGCCAGCAGCCGCGGUAAUACGGAGGGGGUUAGCGUUGUUCGGAAUUACUGGGCGUAAAGCGCACGUAGGCGGACUGGAAAGUUGGGGGUGAAAUCCCAGGGCUCAACCCUGGAACUGCCUCCAAAACUAUCAGUCUAGAGUUCGAGAGAGGUGAGUGGAAUUCCGAGUGUAGAGGUGAAAUUCGUAGAUAUUCGGAGGAACACCAGUGGCGAAGGCGGCUCACUGGCUCGAUACUGACGCUGAGGUGCGAAAGUGUGGGGAGCAAACAGGAUUAGAUACCCUGGUAGUCCACACCGUAAACGAUGAAUGCCAGUCGUCGGGUAGCAUGCUAUUCGGUGACACACCUAACGGAUUAAGCAUUCCGCCUGGGGAGUACGGUCGCAAGAUUAAAACUCA
rnacentral:rRNA from 1 species